rnacentral:lncRNA from 1 species
UAUCUCAUUGUAGUUCUGAUUUGCAUUUCUCUAAUGAUCAGUGAUGUUGAGAUUUCUUUUUCAUGUGAUUGUUGGUUGCAUGUAUACCUUCUUUGGUUCUUUUGGUUUUAUAUGAAUUUUGAAAUAAAUUUUGGACAAUUUGUUUAUACUGUGUGUGUGUCCAGUUGUGAUUGGAAUAUAUUGUAGAAACUCAAGUAAAUAUCUUCUAAUGACUCAAUGAAUUGAUUUAUUUGGGAUGCUUUAUAAAAAGUAUAACUUUUUCCUAAUGCAGAAUGUCCUAGUAGAAAUAAAAAAAUACAGUAUAUCAAUAAUUCCUAGCAUUCCCAAGGAAGGAAACAAGUAAUCGUAUUAAGUAAAAUGAUAAAAUAAUACAAGUCUUAAUGUUGAUGCCCAACAUCAAGCCAUUUUUAAGAAUCACAAGCAGUGCAGCAGUAUUAUUGCUGAUGCUUUAAAGCUGAGCCAUAUUUUCUUAGAUAUUUAUAGGAUGGCUUUGUAGGUAAAAUACAGGAGUAAAUACCUGUGCUAGGUUGUUUUAUCGUGCAGUUAUUCAUUCUUCCUUUCCUGUAAGAAAAUUAUACAUUGUUGCUCAUUGACAUCAGGCUUAAGGGGCCCCUUAUGGACAGAAUAUAUAUUCUCUGCUCCAUUGAUGUUUGACCUGACUAUGUGAUGUGCUUUAGUCAAUGGAAUAAAUGUAGGCACGAUGUAUACUGUUUUUGAGAAGAAACUUUAAAAGGUACUAAUGAAAUUUCUUUGCCUGUUUGUUUCUGCCUUCUGUAUGGGUCCUGGAAUAAAAAUAUAUGGAUGAGGAUUGCAGCUGACUUCAGCCUACAUGCAGUUUGAAUAUGAAACAGAUUCCAUACCCCUUCAGGAGGCACACGUUAUCUUCUGUGGCCUGACUCCUACCAUAUCAGUGUACUGUCACCCAGAAAACUGUUAUAGAAGAUGUCCGAGCAUAUGGAAAAGAACCUUGAACAUGGAACAAGGAGACACGGGUUCAGCCUCUGGGCAAAUAAUUGAACUGGCACAACAAAGAAAAAGAUGUCGGAAAUUGUUCAUCAAAAAACUGAGUGCUUAUCUAUGAAUCAACUGCCCUACUUGCCCACGUCUUCCUCCUGCGAUGAACUCAGGCACUGGUACGCAGUAUAGACAUGGUACAGAGGAUUGUCUCAGAGAGGUUGUGCUGUUCUUUUCCCUACUUCACCCUCCCGAGUUGUGCCAUCUUGGUCAUGUUGCUUAACUUACCUGUUUCAGUUUUUCCAACUGUAAAAUAUGGAUGAUAAACUUGCCUAUCUAUCUCAUGGAGCUGUCAUGGAAAUAUAAUGCAAAGCAUUUCACUGUCUCAAUUUUGUUAUUUGAAAAGGAGUAAUUUGUAAACAAAAAUAAAUCCUUUCAAGUCAUUUUCUAAAAUUCUGUAAUUGACAAAUAUUUACUAAAAUAUUAAACUGAGGAUUUAUAAGUUUUCUAAUAUUACUUUCCAAAACUAGACUAUUUAAAAGGGAAAAUGGCUGAUAAUAUCAGUGCAGUUCUCAAGCAGUGUCUAUCCUCUUACCUCAUUAUGAUCUUGAUGAAACACUUGCCAAUAUAAAAUCAUGACAAAGCUAUUUCAUGGGUGUGCACCAUGAGAAAACUACUUUAACUUCAAUUUUUUUUGGCUUGGUUACUUUCACUGGUCAUUUUCUUUUGUUGUUGGUUUCAAAACUCAUUGCUAUUUCCACUGACUACUUUGGCCUCCUAGUCAAUCAUAUCUUUUUGUAAGACCAUAAAACUUUGACAUUUUUGCCAAAAAGUAAUCAGUAUUGUCAAUUUAAAAUUUCCCUUGAUUUCAAGAUUCUCUAAUACACAGUAUUUUUUUUUAACUUUCCCCCAUUAGUUCCAUAUUAUAUUUUACAUAGUAGACAUUCAAU